GGUUAAGCGACUAAGCGUACACGGUGGAUGCCCUGGCAGUCAGAGGCGAUGAAGGGCGUGCUAAUCUGCGAUAAGCGCCGGUAAGGUGAUAUGAACCGUUAUAACCGGCGAUACCCGAAUGGGGAAACCCAGUGUGACUCGUCACACUAUCAUUAACUGAAUCCAUAGGUUAAUGAGGCGAACCGGGGGAACUGAAACAUCUAAGUACCCCGAGGAAAAGAAAUCAACCGAGAUUCCCCCAGUAGCGGCGAGCGAACGGGGAGGAGCCCAGAGCCUGAAUCAGCAUGUGUGUUAGUGGAAGCGUCUGGAAAGGCGCGCGAUACAGGGUGACAGCCCCGUACACAAAAGCGCAUGUGCUGUGAGCUCGAUGAGUAGGGCGGGACACGUGGUAUCCUGUCUGAAUAUGGGGGGACCAUCCUCCAAGGCUAAAUACUCCUGACUGACCGAUAGUGAACCAGUACCGUGAGGGAAAGGCGAAAAGAACCCCGGCGAGGGGAGUGAAAAAGAACCUGAAACCGUGUACGUACAAGCAGUGGGAGCACCCUUUGGGUGUGACUGCGUACCUUUUGUAUAAUGGGUCAGCGACUUAUAUUCUGUAGCAAGGUUAACCGAAUAGGGGAGCCGGAGGGAAACCGAGUCUUAACCGGGCGUUAAGUUGCAGGGUAUAGACCCGAAACCCGGUGAUCUAGCCAUGGGCAGGUUGAAGGUUGGGUAACACUAACUGGAGGACCGAACCGACUAAUGUUGAAAAAUUAGCGGAUGACCUGUGGCUGGGGGUGAAAGGCCAAUCAAACCGGGAGAUAGCUGGUUCUCCCCGAAAGCUAUUUAGGUAGCGCCUCGUGAAUUCAUCUCCGGGGGUAGAGCACUGUUUCGGCUAGGGGGCCAUCCCGGCUUACCAACCCGAUGCAAACUGCGAAUACCGGAGAAUGUUAUCACGGGAGACACACGGCGGGUGCUAACGUCCGUCGUGAAGAGGGAAACAACCCAGACCGCCAGCUAAGGUCCCAAAGUCAUGGUUAAGUGGGAAACGAUGUGGGAAGGCCCAGACAGCCAGGAUGUUGGCUUAGAAGCAGCCAUCAUUUAAAGAAAGCGUAAUAGCUCACUGGUCGAGUCGGCCUGCGCGGAAGAUGUAACGGGGCUAAACCAUGCACCGAAGCUGCGGCAGCGACACUGUGUGUUGUUGGGUAGGGGAGCGUUCUGUAAGCCUGUGAAGGUGUGUCGUGAGGCAUGCUGGAGGUAUCAGAAGUGCGAAUGCUGACAUAAGUAACGAUAAAGCGGGUGAAAAGCCCGCUCGCCGGAAGACCAAGGGUUCCUGUCCAACGUUAAUCGGGGCAGGGUGAGUCGACCCCUAAGGCGAGGCCGAAAGGCGUAGUCGAUGGGAAACGGGUUAAUAUUCCCGUACUUGGUGUUACUGCGAAGGGGGGACGGAGAAGGCUAUGUUGGCCGGGCGACGGUUGUCCCGGUUUAAGCGUGUAGGUGUGUGUUCCAGGUAAAUCCGGUUCACUUUAACACUGAGGCGUGACGACGAGGCACUACGGUGCUGAAGCAACAAAUGCCCUGCUUCCAGGAAAAGCCUCUAAGCAUCAGGUAACAUCAAAUCGUACCCCAAACCGACACAGGUGGUCAGGUAGAGAAUACCAAGGCGCUUGAGAGAACUCGGGUGAAGGAACUAGGCAAAAUGGUGCCGUAACUUCGGGAGAAGGCACGCUGACACGUAGGUGAAGUGAUUUACUCAUGGAGCUGAAGUCAGUCGAAGAUACCAGCUGGCUGCAACUGUUUAUUAAAAACACAGCACUGUGCAAACACGAAAGUGGACGUAUACGGUGUGACGCCUGCCCGGUGCCGGAAGGUUAAUUGAUGGGGUCAGCGCAAGCGAAGCUCCUGAUCGAAGCCCCGGUAAACGGCGGCCGUAACUAUAACGGUCCUAAGGUAGCGAAAUUCCUUGUCGGGUAAGUUCCGACCUGCACGAAUGGCGUAAUGAUGGCCAGGCUGUCUCCACCCGAGACUCAGUGAAAUUGAACUCGCUGUGAAGAUGCAGUGUACCCGCGGCAAGACGGAAAGACCCCGUGAACCUUUACUAUAGCUUGACACUGAACAUUGAGCCUUGAUGUGUAGGAUAGGUGGGAGGCUUUGAAGUGUGGACGCCAGUCUGCAUGGAGCCGACCUUGAAAUACCACCCUUUAAUGUUUGAUGUUCUAACGUGGACCCGUUACCCGGGUUGCGGACAGUGUCUGGUGGGUAGUUUGACUGGGGCGGUCUCCUCCUAAAGAGUAACGGAGGAGCACGAAGGUUGGCUAAUCCUGGUCGGACAUCAGGAGGUUAGUGCAAUGGCAUAAGCCAGCUUGACUGCGAGCGUGACGGCGCGAGCAGGUGCGAAAGCAGGUCAUAGUGAUCCGGUGGUUCUGAAUGGAAGGGCCAUCGCUCAACGGAUAAAAGGUACUCCGGGGAUAACAGGCUGAUACCGCCCAAGAGUUCAUAUCGACGGCGGUGUUUGGCACCUCGAUGUCGGCUCAUCACAUCCUGGGGCUGAAGUAGGUCCCAAGGGUAUGGCUGUUCGCCAUUUAAAGUGGUACGCGAGCUGGGUUUAGAACGUCGUGAGACAGUUCGGUCCCUAUCUGCCGUGGGCGCUGGAGAACUGAGGGGGGCUGCUCCUAGUACGAGAGGACCGGAGUGGACGCAUCACUGGUGUUCGGGUUGUCAUGCCAAUGGCACUGCCCGGUAGCUAAAUGCGGAAGAGAUAAGUGCUGAAAGCAUCUAAGCACGAAACUUGCCCCGAGAUGAGUUCUCCCUGAGACUUUAGGUCUCCUGAAGGAACGUUGAAGACGACGACGUUGAUAGGCCGGGUGUGUAAGCGCAGCGAUGCGUUGAGCUAACCGGUACUAAUGAACCGUGAGGCUUAACCUU
rnacentral:rRNA from 1 species